rnacentral:lncRNA from 10 species
UGUGUCAGAGCCUGGCCAGAUGACAGACGGCCUGGGGUGCAGGCGAGACCCACUGAACUGGCAGCUGAGGACAGGUCCAGGCCCAGUGGCUGGGGGACUUCUCAGAGCAGGUACCACAACAGCUACCCAAGGACUCAGGACUUUUCUCCCACAGCCAGACUUGGUGAUUGCAUGAAGGAGCCCAGCCUCGGAUGACCUUUCCCCGUGACAAGGCACUAGGAGAGCACAGACCUCCCCACACAAACACUGAGACACCCAACCUUGCGUGACCUUGAGCCAAACACAACUCUUAGGAUGUAACCUGCUUUACAAGAUGAGAAAGACACGAGUAAAAACAUCAGCAGACUCUGGAAGGUAAAUGAACAAUCCUGAUAACACCCAGCCCUUCCCCCGAGGCGGGCUUUUAAGCAUGAUCUUGCUUGUCCUUGAAAUCAUCCCUGUGAAGGCAGGGAGAGGGAGGACCAUUAUCUCCAUCUUACAGAGAGAGAAACCAGGCACUGAAAAUAGACAGCAACCCACACAGCGGGUCAUGCUGGCAUUAGACUCAAGGCCACAUGAGUGUUGGCCCUGACCUGUUUCUUCUGCCCCAUGGAGGACCAGUUAUUUCCUUAGCCCAGGGGCCCCAGUGACUGAAGGAAGGUCUGGAGGGAGACACUGUUUUUAGGUCUAAAAAGGGGAGAGGAAACAAGAGAGAAGAAGAAGGAGCAAAAGAAAAAGGGAAGGAGGGAAAGCAGAGAUAAAGAUGGGACCUGGAAGGGGCAGGGUAGACACUA